UCCCAAACCAUUCCUCAGUGCAAGUUUGUGCCGUCACCACCUAUAGUGAGCUCUGUUGGCAUCGCCUGCAGUUUUUUUUUCCUGUGUGGACAUUCCCCUGUGGACUCCUCGAGCUUCUCCCUGAACAUUUAAUUGAUUGAAGAUGGAUCUCACCUUGACACAAAUGUGCAUAAAAAUGUAUUGCAUCAUGGACACUCGUCGGCCAGUGGCAUAGGAGAACAGAGCCUGCAUUUGCAAGCAAGGUCCACAAAUCAAAGAGGACUUUCUGAGACCGAAACAGCAGAAGGGGCAGGAAAGUGUAUUGAGUGAUUAGCACGUGUCUU